rnacentral:rRNA from 1 species
AACGUAGGGGACAAGCGUUAUCCGGAUUUACUGGGCGUAAAGCGCCCGUAGGCGGCUUUUUAAGUUGGACGUGAAAGCUCCCGGCUUAACUGGGAGAGGCCGUUCAAAACUGAAGAGCUAGAGUGAGGCAGAGGAGCGUGGAAUUCCCGGUGUAGUGGUGGAAUGCGUAGAGAUCGGGAGGAACACCAGUGGCGAAAGCGGCGCUCUGGGCCUAAACUGACGCUGAGGGGCGAAAGCGUGGGGAGCGAACGGG